AGGCCAUUCUUCUCAUAAUUUCGGCCAGACAGCCAUGGGAGAGAGCUUUUAAGCUGGUUUUGCACAAUUUCACUGCAUAUCAAGAAUCCAAAGAAGAACGAGAAAAAGAAAAAGUUGCGGAAUAGUCCCUAAAUUUCAAUAUCUUCUACAAAUCAGCCAGUUUUGACAAGGCAGCUCAGAAAUCAGGAACGAUCAGAGGCUCGCUCACACUAUCUGUGUAUCAUCUUGGUAUAACGGUUUGUAUAUUUUGAGCAUGUUCUCAUGUUGAGGAGGUCGCAAUUGUCCUUGUCUUUGCUACUAUGAGGAUGGUGUACUGAAGAAGUUUGAACGAGAUGUUUGUUGAUAACAAUAGUCAACGAAGCAAGGCUCUCAUCCUUUGUCACCUUACCAAUGGAUGCCUCGUUAUGCGCCAUUGGUUCGUCUGUCUUAUGGUUGUUUUGCCUCUUCCUUUCUUGAUGAUGCCAACCUCUACAAUGGGAAAACAUUUUGGCCAUGUUGGAAAAAUCAAUUUAGAAAAUAGGAUUUUUAGGCAAAGUUGAAGUUUAAAAUUUUUCUUAAAACUUAACCUUAUGAUAUUUAUAGUAAUAAAUUCUUAACUAAAUUAUUACUUA